GUCGAACGAUGAAGCCCUUCGGGGUGGAUUAGUGGCGAACGGGUGAGUAACACGUGGGCAAUCUGCCCUUCACUCUGGGACAAGCCCUGGAAACGGGGUCUAAUACCGGAUACGACCUGCCGAGGCAUCUCGGCGGGUGGAAAGCUCCGGCGGUGAAGGAUGAGCCCGCGGCCUAUCAGCUUGUUGGUGGGGUAACGGCCCACCAAGGCGACGACGGGUAGCCGGCCUGAGAGGGCGACCGGCCACACUGGGACUGAGACACGGCCCAGACUCCUACGGGAGGCAGCAGUGGGGAAUAUUGCACAAUGGGCGCAAGCCUGAUGCAGCGACGCCGCGUGAGGGAUGACGGCCUUCGGGUUGUAAACCUCUUUCAGCAGGGAAGAAGCGCAAGUGACGGUACCUGCAGAAGAAGCGCCGGCUAACUACGUGCCAGCAGCCGCGGUAAUACGUAGGGCGCAAGCGUUGUCCGGAAUUAUUGGGCGUAAAGAGCUCGUAGGCGGCUUGUCACGUCGGGUGUGAAAGCCCGGGGCUUAACCCCGGGUCUGCAUCCGAUACGGGCAGGCUAGAGUGUGGUAGGGGAGAUCGGAAUUCCUGGUGUAGCGGUGAAAUGCGCAGAUAUCAGGAGGAACACCGGUGGCGAAGGCGGAUCUCUGGGCCAUUACUGAC
rnacentral:rRNA from 1 species